GUGGAGGAAUUGUAUUACCUAUACAAUCAAGAUGCACUUGACAAGUCACUCAUCAAUUCCUAGGUUCUGUAAAUCUUUAAUUUGCUCUAACUUCAAAAUCUCUGCUCUAAUCAUUGUGCGAUGUCUUAACUCCUAUUUGAUUUUGUAUCAUACAGGAUGAAGAUUCAAACUUGUCGGAGGAAAGGAUACUAUGACGUCGGCUUCAUGGACCCCGAUGUUGUAAACGAGUCAACUCUAAGAGGUAAACCAAAUCGAACAUUGAAGAAUAUAUAUAAGUUCAU
rnacentral:lncRNA from 1 species